rnacentral:sRNA from 1 species
CGUCAAGAGUCUUCUGAGGCUCAACGCCGUUUCGGCGAGCAGAUUUCUUUUGCCUAGCAGAAGGUAAAAGGAAAUG